AUGAUCCGCGCCAACCACUUCCUCGUCAACGUCGCCGACAACAACCUCUUCCACUACGAUGUUUCCAUCAACCCGGAGUCAAAAUCAAGAGCUGUGAACAGGGAGGUACUCAGUGAGCUAAUCAAGUUGCACGGGAAGACAUCCCUUGGCGGCAAAUUGCCUGCCUAUGAUGGAAGAAAGAGUCUCUACACUGCAGGCUCACUCCCUUUUGAGUCUGAGGAGUUCUCUGUUACACUGGUUGAUCCCGAAAAGAAAGACAAAGAAAAGGCUGAAAGGGAGUACAAGAUCACCAUUAGGAUUGCUGGGAGGACAGACCUGUACCACCUCCAGCAGUUCCUCAAAGGAAGACAGAGGGAUAUGCCUCAAGAAACCAUCCAAGUUCUUGAUGUUGUCCUCAGGGAGUCACCAUCCUGGAACUAUGUCACAGUGUCCAGAUCCUUCUUCUCCACCACCUUUGGUCACAGAGGAGACAUUGGUGAAGGAUUAGAGUGCUGGAGAGGUUACUACCAGAGCUUACGUCCAACCCAGAUGGGGCUGUCACUCAAUAUAGAUAUAUCUGCAACAUCCUUCUUCAAGCCUGUGACAGUGGUCCAGUUUGUGCUAGAGUUCCUCAACUUACGUGAUGCCUCGCGGCCUCUGACAGACAGGGACCGUGUUAAGAUAAAGAAAGCACUCCGUGGGGUGCGUGUCGAAACAAACCACCAGGAAGACCAAAUCAGAAGAUACAAGAUAACAGGGAUUACUCCUGUUCCCAUGAGCCAGCUCAUAUUUCCUGUUGAUGAGAGAGGAACAAGAAUGUCAGUUGUUCAGUACUUCAUGCAAAGAUACAAAUACAACCUGCAGUAUACUUCUUGGCCCUGCUUGCAGUCUGGAAGUGAUGCUCGGCCUGUGUAUCUGCCUAUGGAGGCGUGCAAGAUUGUUGAAGGGCAAAGGUACUCUAAGAAACUGAAUGACAAGCAGGUCACCAACAUACUUAGAGCUACCUGUCAACGUCCCCAGCAGAGGGAGCAAAGCAUUCGUGAGAUGGUUCUGCACAACAAGUAUGCUGAGGACAAGUUUGCUCAGGAGUUCGGUAUCAACGUCUGCAGUGACCUGGUCUCUGUUCCAGCCCGUGUGCUGCCUCCCCCCAUGUUGAGAUAUCAUGAUUCUGGAAAGGAGAAAACUUGUGCGCCAAGUGUUGGACAGUGGAGCAUGAUUAACAAGAAAAUGAUCAAUGGAGGAAUCAUAGACAACUGGUCCUGUGUGAGUUUUUCACGCAUACCUCCUGAGGAGGUACACAGGUUCUGUUGUGAUCUGAUUCAGAUGUGCAAUAUGACUGGAAUGUCUGUCAAUCCAAGGCCACUUGUAGACAACCGAUCAGCUAACCCCAACCACAUCGAGAAUGCCUUGAGGGAUGUCUACAGGAGGACUACCGAAAUGCUUGGAAAACAGGGACACGAAAAACAGCUACAACUGUUAAUCGUAAUCCUACCUGAAGUCAGUGGUUCUUAUGGGAAAAUCAAGAAGGUUUGCGAGACCGACCUUGGGAUCGUGUCUCAGUGUUGCCUGCCAAGGCAUGCUGCCAGACCGAACAAGCAAUAUCUGGAGAAUGUUGCACUCAAAAUCAAUGUGAAGGUCGGAGGACGCAACACAGUUCUGGAGAGAGCUUUUGUGCGAAAUGGCAUACCGUUUGUGUCCGAAGUCCCAACAAUCAUCUUUGGUGCUGAUGUUACACACCCCCCACCUGGAGAGGACUCUGCAUCAUCUAUUGCUGCGGUGGUGGCAUCAAUGGACUGGCCAGAGAUCACCAAGUACAGAGGUCUUGUCUCUGCUCAACCACACAGGCAGGAGAUAAUCGAAGAUCUCUUCAGUGUCACCAAAGAUCCGAAGAGGGGUAAUGUCAAUGGUGGCAUGAUCAGGGAGUUACUGAUUGCAUUCCGCAGGAAGACAGGCCGGAGGCCUGAGAGGAUACUCUUCUACAGGGAUGGCGUAAGUGAAGGCCAAUUCAGCCAUGUUCUGCUUCAUGAAAUGGACGCAAUCAGGAAGGCCUGCGCCUCAUUGGAGGAGGGGUAUAUGCCCCCAGUCACCUUUGUGGUUGUCCAGAAAAGGGAUCACACCAGGCUGUUCCCUGAUGUUCAUGGGAGGCGUGAUAUGACUGACAAGAGUGGGAACAUACUUCCUGGAAGUGUGUUUGAACUCAUGACCUGCCACCCAACAGACUUUGGCUUUUACCUGUGCAACAAUACCAACAUACAGGGAACAAGUUGUAAUUACCAUGUUCUUUAUGAUGAGAACAAUUUCACGGCUGAUGCGCUUCAAUCCCUGACGAAGAAGCUCUGUAAUACCUAUGCUCGGUGCGUUCCAGGACUCUCCACAGUGGCACCGGCUUUUUAUGCUCAUGUAAAAGCUAGAGUCUGUACUCGCCACUACAUGGAAGGGGACGGCUCAACUGGGGAACUAAAUAUUAAACUUCUUGGUGGUGGUGACAAUCCGGAUACUGGAAGGUCUCGUAAAAGGCCUCGUGAGGAAGAAUCGGGUUCUUCAUCUCAAUCGGCCGAUCACCCAACUUUGGGAGGCAACAGAAUAUCCAACAUAAGUACAUUCCUUCCAAAGGGGAAGAAUUUACCAUACUUUGAAGGCUUUCUUACAUUUAUCGAGAAGAGCAAAUUUAGAAAUCAUCCAGAACUGCUACCGUACAAGCGGCGCCCCUUGGUUUUUAUGUCCCCACUAGAAAGACUGCUGCUUUGGAUAAUCUUUUGA
rnacentral:rRNA from 1 species